rnacentral:rRNA from 1 species
AUACGGAGGAUCCGAGCGUUAUCCGGAUUUAUUGGGUUUAAAGGGUGCGUAGGUGGUUAAUUAAGUCAGCGGUGAAAGUUUGUGGCUCAACCAUAAAAUUGCCGUUGAAACUGGUUGACUUGAGUAUAUUUGAGGUAGGCGGAAUGCGUGGUGUAGCGGUGAAAUGCAUAGAUAUCACGCAGAACUCCGAUUGCGAAGGCAGCUUACUAAACUAUAACUGACACUGAAGCACGAAAGCGUGGGGAUCAAACAGGAUUAGAUACCCUGGUAGUCCACGCAGUAAACGAUGAUUACUAGCUGUUUGCGAUACACAGUAAGCGGCACAGCGAAAGCGUUAAGUAAUCCACCUGGGGAGUACGCCGGCAACGGUGAAACUCAAAUGAAUUGGCGGGG